rnacentral:lncRNA from 1 species
UCCAAACCACCAAAAGACGUUAUGAACAAUUGCUGCCUUACCUUCCCAAUGAAGAAGAAAAUAAAGAUUGGGUCGUACUCGUAUCCUUUCAUCUUCUUCCUUUUUUGAGUCGUAUAUUCCACCGCACGCCACAUAUCGAAAUCUAUGAGGCUUGCAACUACAACAAACAAGAAUUAAGAACGGAAGAAACAAAAACAAGAAAUUAACUAAAAUAUGAUUUUUAGUUAUUCCUCCACAUGCUUAUUGUUAUUCCUUUAAAGACACGCAAGUGAUUGAAUACAAAACUCUCAUUCUAUCUAUCAACAUAUCAACACUACCAAAUGUAAUAGCCUAUUAAUGUGUUCAUAUCAUAAGAAACAUUGAUGAUUUUUUUUUUUUUUUAAUCGGCAAAAUUUAUUAAAGCUUCCUCAAUAUCAAGAAGUACAUGAGGAGCCAAAGCAGAGAAACAUUGAUGAUUGAGAGAAGAAAAAUGAAAAGCAACAAAGAUAUUAAUAGGGAAACCUGAGUACCUGACUGCUUGUUGGAAAAUGCGAUCCCUUGGUUGCUGAAGCUCAGGCGGAGAUGAUGAUGA